rnacentral:rRNA from 1 species
AUACGGAGGGUGCGAGCGUUAAUCGGAAUUACUGGGCGUAAAGCGUACGUAGGCGGCUUGGUCAGUCGGAUGUGAAAGCCCCGGGCUUAACCUGGGAAUUGCACUCGAUACUGCCAGACUAGAGUUUAGUAGAGGAAUGCGGAAUUCCGGGUGUAGCGGUGAAAUGCGUAGAUAUCCGGAGGAACAUCAGUGGCGAAGGCGGCAUUCUGGGCUAAAACUGACGCUGAGGUACGAAAGCGUGGGGAGCAAACAGGAUUAGAUACCCCGGUAGUCC